rnacentral:lncRNA from 1 species
GGAUAAUUAAAUCGUCACACUGGAACUGAUUCCCAAACAUCAUGUAACUGUCUUUCACAGGGGGAGGUGGCUUUGGUGCCAGACCUUUACGUAUGUUUUCAUCAGUAUAUUCUUUUAUAUACUGCAUUGGAGGUGGAGGAAGGGCACUCACUUGCUGAGGCUCACCCAUCUUUGCAGAUGAAAAUACCUGCCCGCCGCACUCCCACUGCCACCGUCAACACCUCACUUCCGGCGAGCAGCUCUUCUUCCUC